rnacentral:rRNA from 1 species
GACGAACGCUGGCGGCGUGCUUAACACAUGCAAGUCGAACGGAAAGGCCCUGCUUUUGUGGGGUGCUCGAGUGGCGAACGGGUGAGUAACACGUGAGUAACCUGCCCUUGACUUUGGGAUAACUUCAGGAAACUGGGGCUAAUACCGGAUAGGAUCUCCUGCUGCAUGGUGGGGGUUGGAAAGUUUCGGCGGUUGGGGAUGGACUCGCGGCUUAUCAGCUUGUUGGUGGGGUAGUGGCUUACCAAGGCUUUGACGGGUAGCCGGCCUGAGAGGGUGACCGGCGACAUUGGGACUGAGAUACGGACCAGACUGCAACGGGAGGCAGCAGUGGGGAAUAUUGCACAAUGGGAGGAAGCCUGAUGAAGAAACGCCGCGGGCGGGAUGACGGCCUUCGGGUUGUAAACAGCUGUAGCCUGUGACGAAGCGUGAGUGACGGUAAUGGGUAAAGAAGCACCGGCUAACUACGUG